AUGAAACAGAGAAGGAUACGUCUGCUAUGUAACCUGGCUCAAAUAACAACUGUUUUCUUAACUGGAAACAAGCUGUCUUCUAAAUUAGAAGCAACAUACAGUUCACUUUGUGAAGAACUUCAGAACAGAUCGAUGUGCCCCAGAUGUCAUCUGAACAAUUUGGAGGCUUUAACUACUGUUUUGCACCAAAAUGAGGAAAACUAA